CAAUCUACCUUUUACAGAGGGAUAGCCCAGAGAAAUUUGGAUUAAUACCUCAUAGUAUAAUGACUCGGCAUCGAGAUAUUAUUAAAGUCACAACGGUAAAACAUGAGCAUGCGUCCCAUUAGCUAGUUGGUAAGGUAACGGCUUACCAAGGCUACGAUGGGUAGGGGUCCUGAGAGGGAGAUCCCCCACACUGGUACUGAGACACGGACCAGACUCCUACGGGAGGCAGCAGUGAGGAAUAUUGGACAAUGGGCGCAAGCCUGAUCCAGCCAUGCCGCGUGCAGGAUGACGGUCCUAUGGAUUGUAAACUGCUUUUAUACGAGAAGAAACACUCCGACGUGUCGGAGCUUGACGGUAUCGUAAGAAUAAGGAUCGGYUAACUCCGUGCCAGCAGCCGCGGUAAUACGGAGGAUCCAAGCGUUAUCCGGAAUCAUUGGGUUUAAAGGGUCCGUAGGCGGUUUAAUAAGUCAGUGGUGAAAGCCCAUCGCUCAACGGUGGAACGGCCAUUGAUACUGUUAAACUUGAAUUAUUAGGAAGUAACUAGAAUAUGUAGUGUAGCGGUGAAAUGCUUAGAGAUUACAUGGAAUACCAAUUGCGAAGGCAGGUUACUACUAAUUGAUUGACGCUGAUGGACGAAAGCGUGGGUAGCGAACAGGAUUAGAUACCCUGGUAGUCCACGCCGUAAACGAUGGAUACUAGCUGU
rnacentral:rRNA from 1 species